GACGAACCGUGCGAACGUUGUUCGGAAUCACUGGGCUUAAAGCGUGUGUAGGCGGAUUGGUAAGUACCGUUGUGAAAUCCCACGGCUUAACCGUGGAACUGCUUGGUAUACUGCUUAGUCUUGGGCCACUUAGGGGCUACCGGAACAAACGGUGGAGCGGUGAAAUGCGUAGAUAUCGUUUGGAACGCCAAUGGUGAAAACAGGUAGCUGGGAGUGUGCCGACGCUGAGACACGAAAGCCAGGGGAGCGAACGGG
rnacentral:rRNA from 1 species